rnacentral:lncRNA from 1 species
GCUCCGGACGUUGCUUGGAUUGGAACAGGGUCAACAGCCGGAGCUCAGCUGCUGACAAAAGCCAAGCCCUCUUUCAGGUCAGUUAUCAUGUACAGUGUCCCUCAGUUGGAAUUUGUCUGAUGUUUCCUCGUGAUUAUAUUCAGGUUUGAAACCUGAGGUUCAGUGAGCCCUUGAGAGCUGGGCCUUGAACACAGCCCCUCUCCCACACAACAGAGGUAAGGGCACGAUAUACUUCUCUUUCUGCCAAGUGUGUUAAGGGGGCCUGCCCGCUAGCAUCAUAGCUGACCUGGUAGUUUGCUGGUGUUUUUAGAUGUGAGAGGCCCAAGGGCUGCAGAGAAGAGCCUUGGACCCUGAACCUAGUGAGAAUGUGGCCCAGGAUCUCAGGAAGGUCGUCUCUCAACCUUCUUAUUUGUAAAAAUAGUAGGAAAUCAUCCAUCCUGUGGUUAUGUAAAAGAAUAUCUUUAUUCUUAAGAAGCUUAUAUAUAUAUGCCUCACCUCUGCAAAUUCUGAAUUAUUUUUACAAGGACAAUUUUAUAGUCUUUUUUAACUGAACAUCCGUUUUAUACCCUGUUGUACAUCUGGUACACAUUCCUUGUAAGUGUAAUUUUAAUGACUUCCAGCAUUCCACUUUGUGUCAUAAUUUCUAUUCUCCUGUUGAUGGACACUCAAAAGGAAGAAGGGGAUUGAUAUUAACUCAGCAUGAACUUGGUACCAGGUGCUAUCCACCACAGGCUUAGCAUUAUCUUAUUUAACCCUCACGAUCCUACUAAGAUAAAUAUUUUUACCCAUGAUGUGUGGAUGAGGAGCUUAUACUAAGCCAACCUCAUUCAACUAGGGAAGAUCCAGGAUACAAUUCCAGGCUCUGACUCCUCAGCCCACGCUGUGUCUCUGCUCGUGCUGUCCCUCAGUUUUCUUCAUACCUAAAAGCUUUCUUUUUAUCCUCCUCUAACUUCGCAGCUUUUUUUUUUUUUCACAGCUCUUUUUCUGUACUGCAGUUUCUGUUAUAUUGUUAUUAAUUCCAUGUCUCAACUCUGAGGUUGGACUAUGGACUCUUUAAGGAUAGGUUAACAGCAUGUUCAUCUCUGGAAGAGACUCACCUCAACAAGCUUAGCCCAGUGCCUUGCAUAUAGCAGAAGCUCCCAUCACUUAUUCUUUCAACAAAUCCUGUAUCUAUGGAGGGCCUAGUAUGCCCCAGGCAGUGUUCUAGAUUCUUGGGACAUGUCAGCAAUUCAGUAUACAGCGAAGCUUACAUUCUGGGGGAGGGCGAUGUAUGAUAAAGAAUGUAAGGGAGUUCCCGUUGUGGCGCAGUGGUUAACGAAUCCGACUAGGAACCAUGAGGUUGCAGGUUCG